GACGAACGCUGGCGGCGUGCUUAACACAUGCAAGUCGGACGGUAAGGCUCCAGCUUGCUGGGGUACACGAGUGGCGAACGGGUGAGUAACACGUGGGUGACCUGCCCUGCACUUCGGGAUAAGCCUGGGAAACUGGGUCUAAUACCGGAUAGGACCAUGGUGUGGAUACUGUGGUGGAAAGUUUUUUCGGUGUGGGAUGGGCCCGCGGCCUAUCAGCUUGUUGGUGGGGUAAUGGCCUACCAAGGCGGCGACGGGUAGCCGGCCUGAGAGGGUGGACGGCCACAUUGGGACUGAGACACGGCCCAGACUCCUACGGGAGGCAGCAGUGGGGAAUAUUGCACAAUGGGCGGAAGCCUGAUGCAGCGACGCCGCGUGGGGGAUGACGGCCUUCGGGUUGUAAACUCCUUUCACCAUCGACGAAGGGUUUCUGACGGUAGAUGGAGAAGAAGCACCGGCUAACUACGUG
rnacentral:rRNA from 1 species